rnacentral:rRNA from 1 species
GACUGGAAUUCCCGGUGUAGCGGUGAAAUGUGUAGAGAUCGGGAGGAACACCGGUGGCGAAGGCGGGUCUCUGGGCAAUUCCUGACGCUGAGGCGCGAAAGCGUGGGGAGCAAACGGGAUUAGAUACCCCGGUAGUCCACGCUGUAAACGAUGACGACUAGGUGUGGGGGGGUUCAGUCCCCUCCGUGCCGCAGCUAACGCAUUAAGUCGUCCGCCUGGGGAGUACGGCCGCAAGGUUGAAACUCAAAGGAAUUGACGGGGGCCCGCACAAGCGGUGGANCAUGUGGUUCAAUUCNAUGCAGAGCGAA